GCGUCUGAUAUGACAGCCGUGACAGAGCAAGUGGCCCUCUAAUGGGUAACAACGAUGGCCUUCCUCAUCAUUGAGCUGCAAGCCACAAUCCUAGAAGAAAAACAUACAUCCCAGUUUUAUGAGUGAUUCAGGAGCCACUGUGCAGAGCCCUACCUGCCCAGGCAUGCAGGAGUCAGCAAAUACACCCUGGGUUGCAAGUCAUGCACCUACUCAGAGGGAGGAUGUUCAGUGUAAGCAAAGCCUUGUCCAGUGCCUCUGCCCAGCUCCUCUGCGACACUCACCUCACAGUGAUAGCACUCCACGUGGUAGUCUUUGUCCAUUGACACUACUCGGAUGGUUUCUUCAGAUCCCUGUUGGAGAAGCACAGAAAAGGUAAGAGUGGGCUUUUAAGUGGUGCUUUCUCAAUCUUCUUUCAGUGCCCAACCUAUAACUUUGGAAAGGUGCUUCUGUGCGGGAUAGCUCUUCUUUUUUUGUAGAACAGAGCUCUGUAACUGCUGAGGGUCUUGCCCCUCCAUGCACUGUGCUGCAGUACCAGUUUUCCUGUUUAGCAGUCCUGUGGGUGUCUGAAAUAGGUUAUAAGGUAAUUCGGGAAGUGUAGCUAAAAUUUCAUGCUCAAAAUACAGUUUUCUCUUGAAAUAAAAUCAUUUUCCAAGGGCACCUAAGAAUUUGAACAAAUUAUAAACCAAACACUAUGACAUAAUGACUAGGUCACUAUUCCUAGUAGACAUUCUGGCCUGACUUUUCUAGGACUCGUUCCCCUCAAAUUAGCUGGUGCACAGCAAUUCUGCACAUGCACAUGGCAGUGUAUGUACCCUACGGUCAUUUACAUACUUAUCCAGCAGGUAAUUAUGCACACAGGCCAAAGCCUCAGUGUGACGGUAGAUGCAGUGGAGUUGUGCAAUACCUGCAGAGUCCCAGGCCCUGCCAAGCUGCCCAUACCCUUCCUGUAACCUCACAGCCUUUCCCUGAGCCACUUCCAUGCCUCUGAAGAUAGAGCUCAUUAAAUUUGCUGACCCACAUUGUUUCCAGUUCCAGGUGUGGUUACAGCAUCAGAUAUGACGUAGACUAUGUCUGAGAGAAGCCACGGGCAGGUUAGCACCUGCACUGCUAGACUUGAACUAACCUAUGAAACCUCUGUGGAAAAGAACACGGAGUCUAUCCUGCUUAACCAUCAGAUGAGUCAGCAGUAGGACCGCAUUUUUACCUUCUUUUAAUUAUUAUUAAUUUUUUUUAUCAUUUUGUAAGACAUGAAACUAGAAAAGCUCUAUGGCAACUUCAUUCCUUAUACCACCAUCAGCAGGGCAUGAGAUUCUGGCUCAACUUUCAUAAGGUUUUUAGCAAAUAAUGACAAAUGUAGGAUAAUGUGGAAUGGUAAAGGUGGGCAUACUGAGAGGCUCCAGCCACAGGCUUUACUAGGUCACAGCAGCUUACAGGAGGUGCGCUCUGGCUAUAUGCACCUGAUGAGAGGACAAACAAGGUGCUGAAGGUGUUUCUUGUGAUCAGGCUGGCCAGUGACACGAGCAGAGGGAACUCAGAGAGUCCUGCAGCUGCUGGAGUUUAAUGGAACAUCACUGUGGACAGGCAGAAAAGGAUCAUCUUUUCCAGAAUCUUACUUACUGUGCUAACUAUACCAUCACAGUGGUCUGAGGUUGCAAGCAGCAGUCAUUCAUCUGGCUUUCCUUUUAGGCAACUUUUAUACUUCCUUUUCCACCCUUUAACCACUUUAUUUAUAGUGACCUUCCAAGAUGACAGGCUGUGUGGCUGUUUGAGGGUCAGGAUAACCCCUCAGCUGUCUUUUCCAGCUUGGGCAUCAUAACAGAUGCACAUCAGAAAUGCAAACAUAGCAGACAAGGAAAACUGUUACUUGAGCUAACGGGAAAUUCUAAAAAUAAACAGGGCUUUGCUUCUUGGAUUGUUCUUGGAGCCCCAGUUAGGGCUUUCAAUUAAACAAGAUUCAUAACAGCAUAAUUAAGACCUGGAAAGCACCCUAAUGAUACAAAGUAAUAUGCUACGUAAGCACUAUGACUAUUACAACCUCUGGGAAUGUUUAGGAGUGACAUUACUGCUGAACUGUAUUUAAUUUAAUAUCUCACAUACAUUCUGCAAGAAGGAGGAAAAGUUCUUGGAAAGUGUUCUUAUGCCAACAGCUGUUUUCUGUAAAGAAUCUGUGCAUAUUAACACGUACCUGUGCUGGAAGAAUCGGCUGGUUACAGGAAGCGCAUUUUGGUGCAAAAACCCUAGGGUGCAAGAAGAAAUUGUUCAAAUCACAUUUAAAGUUUCUUCAAAAAGUAGAACCAGGAAAACUAUUCUAACCAUGCCUUCCUUUUAGAAAAAUGUAAACCUGGGUUUGAAGGCAUCUCUACGUUUUUUUUAACAAUAUUCAGGGAAAAGGAGACUUAGAAAGGCGUAUCUACCCCAGCUUUAUUGCUUAGGUCUUCUUGACCUUCAAAUCUUAUCAAUCCAGCCCUCUUCCUAUACAUGUCCUUUCUCUCAUCUUUCUUUAUUCAUAAGGCCAUUCAAAUUCUGCAUAGUAGCUCCUGACCUGGGGCCUGUCACCAGCUCACAUGCUAAAUGGGAGAGGGACCAAUCUCAGCUGUGAUCCAUGUAAACUAAAUAGAUCAACUGGUUUUACCCACAGCUGCAUUUUGUGACAUCGGGCCAACAUCACUCCAUUCUCACAAUACAGUCAGACCAAUACAAUUGAAUUUAAAGUGAUUUCCUUUUGCUCCAUGAGCUGAGUUACUGGUUGGCUGGAGCAAAGAGAGCAUUUACAUUGCCUUUGAGCAUGAGUAGGAAAGAGUCCAAAAGCAAUCACUUAAACAAUGAAACUUCAUCAGGUAAAGGUAAGAUCAUUCUAACACUGGCUGCUAAUUCUAUGUCUGCUGUCCCGUCUAACUUGAUGUAACACAUAUUCCCAAGUAUCACUCACUAGCAUGUGGACACUAGCAGAACCUACCACCACCUGCAGAAUUAGCUAUGUCUAAUUAGUAAUAGAAGUCCUGAAACAAGUAGAGAAGCAGCCAGCAGAGAAAUACGUCCUCUGACACAACCUCAUUUUCAACCUCACUGGGGCCUUAAAUUCCCCACAGAACCCACCAAGUGAGUUCUAGGAUAACUUUCAAACACUUUACAAAUGCAACGUAUGAGAAGAGCACUGAGGGACAGAUGAACAAAUAGGAAUAACUCUUCAUCUACUGCAAGGCUCACAGCUAUACCAGUAAGUUAACCAGUAUAAAUCUUCCAAGCAAUGGAUUUGUUUACUUACGUAUGGUAGUCUUUGACACAGUAAAUAUUGUUCUCCACAUCUACAGUGAAGGGGACUCCAUCCAAACACUCGUUACAUACCACGCAGCGGAAGCAGCCAGGGUGGUAUGACUUUCCAAGGGCCUGUAAGAUCUCAAGAGGCAAAGAGCAAAGUAAAUGGGUGCACAAUUACACAAAAUCCUUCCUCAUAUACUGCUCUGUCUGAGUUUUAAAAUGACAGCGAGAAGCACAUGCUUUGGGAUGACAUUACCAAUCUGGAGCUCCAUCAGCAAGGGGCCUUUUAAAACAAUAAAGUUCCUGAUUUCUGUGGGCUUCUAUCAGGCUCCCAGUAAUGACAGAGAUCUGUGACAAUCCCAUCAGUAUUAGCUCUGCACAGCCAAUACUGCCCAACAGAAAUUAAGCACAGCUUCAAAGACUACUUGGAAAAUCUGCUGCAGUCAAAGUGAGUGGGAUACAGAGUUAAUUCACAAAACACAUCAGACUGUGACAGGAGCCUAAAUUAGCCAUUACUCGCACCUACAAAGUAAAAUAGUAAGACAGACAAAUAAAUAGGUGUCCCUUUGCUAACACUCCCAUUCCACCACACUUACUGACCAGUUCUCAGUUACCCAUCAGUUUUUGUUAAAAUCUGUAUCAAUGGGUAAUCAAAACUGCCAUGCUGACCUUCUCUACUGCCUAUCUCCUAUGGAGAUAUUCAAGACCUGUCCGGAUAUCUACCUUAGUGGCCUAUUGCAGGAUACCUGCGUUAGCAGGAGCGUUGGACUCUAUGAUCUCUUGAGGUCCCUUCUAACACCUGUGAUUCUGCGAUUUUAAAGGCUUCACAGGAAGCCUUUAUUAUGCAGUCUUCUCAAUACUGUUACAGAAUCCAUUCCACUUGGCAGAGGUGGCAUGGCACAGGGCCAUCAAAGAUAGCACACCAAGUUCAUGGACUAGGUUCUGGGAAGGGCUAGACAAAGUUCCAUCUUCAGGCAACUCUCAAGAGGUUACAGAACACAUUUCAGGUGUAACUACCACCUCUGGGAGGUAAUUUCAAAAAAGUUUCUGCUAGCAGCAGCACGCAGCUACUAAUAGACUGCACAGGGAGAAUCUCCACUGACAAAGCUCAUGUGGCCUUGCAGCUCUUUCUACAGGUAAAGUUCAACAGGAACUAAGACAUGGAGCAUAGCUCUCCGUUCAGUGAAUGUUAUCAGACACUUUGAUUUGCAAGACUGUUCCUACCCAGAUGCAACUUGUCUUUAGGCAUGCACUGUUAUCCAAACAGCUACAUAACAAGCACUAUUAGCCUGGUGUGGUUGUGCGGCCACCCUUUGCACAGAACAACUGCACUUUCAGUCCUUGAACAGUUUCAGGCUGCACCCAAGCCUGUGGGGCUGCAGCACUGUUGCUCAGUUGCACACCAGUAACAUGACUGUGCAGACAUGUUUGCUGUCUGCGCAAUCCUAAGGAGGAACACAAAGCAAUUAGCCAAUUAAGACUGCUUAAUUCCUGGAGCUCCCAAAGCAGCUUCAUUUUUUUGGAGUGUACUUGCUGAUGGGAGAAAGGCAGACCUGCCAAGCUUCCAACCACUGAGCUCCACCAACAAGAUAUUACAGACUCUUGCCUGGCAUCCUGUAAUUAAAGGCCAGUUCAAAGCACGCAGGUUGUGAUACCCCUCCCCCUCCCAGCAUGAAACAACUCUAGAAAUUUGCUCUUGGGCUAAAACGAACAAUAUCCUUGUCCAACCAGUGGUGCCAGGAUAUGCGCCAGAAUUCUCAUUAGUGAAGUCUCUGUUCCAGCUCCUACUGCACCUCUGUGUUUGCAGUGUAAUCACUACUUCUAUUACGUUCACAAAUAAACGUUCGUAUACAUUUUAAAGCAAGAGGAAAACACUGACAUACAUGUGAUCUGCACUUCUUUGGUGUGCAAACCACUUUGCUUGGAAAUUUAUUCUUAGAAAGAACAGAUGAAAUUUAUCCUGCUUUCACCUGGAGGAGGAUGCCAGCAGUAUCUGGCCCAAACCACAGCUUUUUGUUUUCUUAUAAAAGUAACUGACCACUGUCUCCCUGCAAAUCACAGUAGCAAAUAACGGAUUUUAACAGGCAUAGAGCAAGUGGCAGAAAGUAAAUAAAGCAAGAAGCAAGUCACGGAGCUGGCAACAAACUCAAGACUAUUGCUAGUGUUCCUCUCUCUUUCCUUGCCCAGACCUCAACUGCACUGAAAGAGCUCUUGUCUUCCAGAGCACAACUUGUUUUUCUUUACCAUGCUCAUACAAAGCUGUGACCUAUAUUCUCCCUUUAGUAUUAAAAUUCAAUUUUUCUUAUUUCUUUUUUUUAACUGGCAUGUGGAAGAAAAAUAGCAUCCCAUGAUCUCAGGUACAAGAGAAGCCCAACUUCACGUACUUCAGAGCAAUUAAGCAUGAAUAUACUUUAGGUUACAAUACUGCCUCAAUUUGAAAACCUACCUUUACAAUAGUGGAGACACAAUGAUAUUCUGACUAGGGAAUAAGCACUAUGUCUAACUAUCCAAAAUACAUCAAAAAAGAUAUCCCACAGUUAGCUUAGGUGUCUUACCAUUUCCAUUAUGAGGUGUCCACAAACAAAGCACUUAUCUGCUGUUUGCUGGAAACCCGAAUACUGUUGAAAUAACAGAAAGAAUAGGGUUAUUAGUAGUCACUAUUUUAGCUGCAGAAGUACAUGAACAUCAUGCUGUUUCCCAUCCUGUGCUGUAUACGACAGCAAACAAUACAAUAGACUUGCUGCCAUGUUUUCCUUUUUGUUAGUGUGAGGGGAUUACACGUUAUUUCAGAUCAAGAGGUUGGAGGCAAAAUUAUUAUUGUUAUGCAACAAAGUGAUUAUGAAGAAAAGGGUCUUGCAAACACUUUGAUGGGCCUGAAAAGUCAGCAAACGAUGCUGUGGCAGUUGUCACAGCUCCACACUAAGGAACAUAGCUUAUGCAAUCCUAAACUUUGAAACUUCUGCAAAAGAGACUGGAGUGUUGAGGAGUGCAUACAGACACGGCUAUUUCUGCAAGACAUUGUUCUGAAUUGUGCAGUGAAACUGGUGUGCAAGUCUGGACAAAACAGUUGAGUUCACCUCCCCACUUUCAAGUAGCAGCUUUUGUAUCAAAAUGCUUGCUUUUUUCUUCUUCUAACUGAGGUAGAAAAAGGGCCUCGCUGCUUGGGAUGCUUCUUGGCUGCACUGUACCUCAGUAACCAUCUGGCUAGACUAUUUCCUAAGGUUGCGAACUCAAGAGUUACUGGAAACAGGUGGGUAGGUCCUGGCAGCACAGACAGUAGAGGAUUAACAAUAAUUCAAACCCAGAUAAUUCUAAAAUCCUGCUGGAAUGAAUUUACCGGUACCAUCUGGCUGUCGUUUGAUAAGGAAUGCAAAGGAGCAUUUACCCAACUAUUGAUUAAGAAAAAACGUUAUUUCCCAGGAAGAGAAUGGCUUAGUGGUCACAUUAAUGUCAUUUAGUGCUAACUAGGUUGUCAUAAAUUACACUGUUUGUCAGAAAGAAAGGUUUUGCUGACACAAAAUCACUCUUUACAUGACUUACCCUAUUAUAUUAAAACCCUGAUUUGUUUUUAACAGGAGAAUUGUUAUUUGUCACAUUCAGAACUACAUUACUCUAUUAAGAAGAUUUUGCAAAAUGGAAGUGAGUCUAAUAGCAGUGCUAAAAUAUUUCACAGGUGUGGGAAACGGUCCCUUUACAACUACGCUAUUUUUUCUUUCUGAUCAAAGCACUGAUCUCAGACAAAUCAGAAACCUGAUUUACUGACAGCUGGUAAAUUAGGCUUUGCUUGUGCUUUACCUCUCUUUGGACUGGAAAACAAUAAUAGGCAGGGAAACCAGCAGCACCAUUUUUCCAUAUGAUGGCAGUGCCGUUUAGAGGUAAACAAUAUAUCAUCAUCUCUAAAUUUUUUCUAUCUCACCUAUCAGUCAACUUCAGCUCUGCGGUGUUUGUUCUUAACUUUAAGAAUUCAGAUAUGGCUGUUGUGCUACGUUUACCAUUCUAGAAGCAGAGCUUACAAAGUCUUAAAAUACUAAUUAAAAUUAUUAGCCUCUGUCUUUGAAACAGUUGGUUACUAUUAAGCUUCACAAGCCUUGCGUGUACAAGGCAGAAACUGUGACUUGCUCCAGACAGCAGAUGAGAGAAUGGCUUCAUUAUCAUUAUUCAUUACUGACGUAGCUGGAGGUGAGAAAAGAAAUUUUGGGCAUACCAGCUCUUCCUCAUAAUCUAGAGACAUGAAAAGCAGAUUGAGGUGAGACAAUGAAGUAAUUAAUGGGUUGAUAGGCAAGAUCCUAGCUGAGAAAGCCAUAUCCUAGCUAUGCUUCUUACACAAAGCAGUUUAUAGAUACAGUUUCAUUCUAGAUGUAGACAGAAAGAGGCUUACUUUAUAAAGUUUUCAAAUGUGUUUUUUUUUCCUCUGAAGAUGACAAAUACAGACCAGCCUCAAAACAGACAAAUAUGCUCAAAAGGCUACAGACACUACGAACCCAGGACAAAAAGUGUAUUUUUGAACUUUCCCAAAUAUUCAUUUUAGAUGCUCAUUAAGAAUAUACAAAAAUAUUCAAAGAGUUUGUUAUAAAAUAAUUGCUCUGAAAUUCAAAGCUCAAAAUUAAGCCUUAUCCUUAACUGUCAUCUGUGGAUUAGAAGAAAGAUGCUAGUUACCAAAAUGCAAAGAAAACAAGUAAAUGCUAAAGGGCUGGUAACAUAUUUUUCCUGGUUCCUUGGUUUGGCCGCAGAUGUCUUCUCCCAUAUUUACCUCGUCCUUGAUUUCUCUCUCAGAAUAACAAAAUCUCAGUUUAUGUGCAAGAAUCAAGACCUUCAUAGUCCAACUCCCCAAUCAUAUUUAUACUAAAAUAAGACUCUAGAAAACCUCGGGACAUGAUUAACAUAUGCCAGAACAGAAGAGUAAAAAUAAAGUAGAAGACUUAGCUGGCUGAACUUUUCUUUUGUUCUCUGUCCACUACACCUUGAUUAUCAAACAGGCAAAAAAUACCUAACCAUUCUAAGUGUCUUUGUGUCAACGAAAAGAAGAACAAGUCCCCUUCUGUCUCAAAUACUUAGGACUGAUAGUGUCCUUCUGGGAAAAUUCUAGGGUUUAUGAACCAUUCUGUCUAAUGUGCAAAAAUUUAACAAUGAAUUUUGAACGUAUAAUGGACAAUUAUGCAUGGAGUUUAAUCCUACCAAGUGUUGUAGGAAAACAUUUCUCCUGUCUGCCUUGAAUCCUUCAACCAAUGUUGGUUGUGUAGCCAGGGCCAUUUAAAGUUCAAUAUUCUCAUCAGGAUUUUCAGAAGCAAAAACAAACAAAACAAAGCAUGCCCGACAGGGGCUUCAGGACCCCAAGUUUCUACCUUAGGCAACGUCAGAUCUUUGAAAGGACAUGUCACUGCUUCUCCUUCACAUGCCUAACUGUGCCCAAGGAGAGACUGAUGCACUUCCUUUCUGUUACGUACUCAAUAAAACAAAACCCUCCUCCUGGAAACAGACCCUGGAAUCUCAUUCAGACCCAUUUUCUUCUUUGAUGGGGAUGUUCAAAACCUGCUAAAGGUUUGUGCAAACAGAUCGAGUGGGUUACAUUUCAGUAGGUACAGCAGUUACUGCCAAUGGUAUGAGGCUAUAAAAACUGCUACAGCACUGCGAAGUCACUGAAUGUGACUGUUAAGCCUAGAAGUGAGAUUCUUACCCUUUUAUGCUUCAAGGGCUUUUGAGAGGGAUGAUCAGGAGCUUUUGCCAAAAUGCUGUAGGCAUUUAAUUCUGAAAACUAAUUUCUGAAUUGGGUGCUAUGCUAAUAAUGUAUUCCAACCCCAGGCUGCCUGUAAUCCCUCACAGACUCUCUUCUCCUUGGUUUCCCAUUAGCAGAGCAUCUGUCUUCUCACUGCUCUAUUGUUUGCGCUCUGCAUGGGACCCUCAGUACAUGGGACACAACAAUGCAAGAAAUUCAUGGGGUCACAUUAAAAGAGGGGGAGAAUAUCAAAUUUGGUUUCAUGCAGAUGGUUGGGUUUUUUUGUUUGGUUUUUUGGCUUUUUUUGCACACACAUUUAAAUGCAGCGAUUAAACUGAACUGAACAAAAUGGAGCCUUCACAGACUCAAAGAUACUGGAGCCUCCGAGCAGGUGGCAGAGAUUAAUCUAAAGCAAAACAGUCCAGAACUUUACCCUUCAUCUUGCCGGAAAACCUUUCAUAUACCCCUAUUGCUGCGCCCUGUCUUGCUGCCAGUAAGGAAACACUACCACAGCAGCAUAUCUUCAUGUUUCUGCGUUUCCACUUAGUUGCAGCUGAAGGACGUGGAUUGGGCAAGGUGGGACUUUAUGCUCAGCAGAGUUUGUUGGACUGUGAAAAACAUUGCCAAAACCCAGGAAUUCCACUGGUAACUAACACUGCCUUUCAAUGCAUGUGACUUGGAUUUGUCCACUUCAGAUUAACAGUAUCAGCGUUACGGAACUUGAAGGUCCCUCCUGCCCCAACCUACAGCAGUCAGCACCUCGAAAAUACUCAGACUUCCUCAAACUUACAUCUACCAGAAAUACUGCACAGCAAAUCCCUUUCCAAGCUUUCAUUCCGUUACUCUGUUAAACGUAUCAAUAAACAAUAUUUGUCUGUUCUCUGA